CACGUAUGUAUAUAUAUAUAUAUAUAUGUAUAUGUAUGUGUAUAUUUGUACUUGUUUUUUCGUGUUGUAUUGUGACAUACGUGUUUUGCUUUGCUUGACGUACGUAUGUACGUGCAUAAAAAAUAAAAAAACCUUUGCUCAAACGAUGUCGCAUUUACAUUUGUUUUUCAAUCAGCCUUGUGAUGAUAACAACAUUGAAGAAGUGAUGAAUCGUUACCCCAAUAUUACCUAUCUAAUAGUAAUUCAAACAGUUUGACAUAUACAUACAUACAUACAUACAUACACAUAUGUAUAUGUGAGCAUUUACAUGUUGUGUGUUUAAUUUUAACGCUCACGUGGGUAUAUAUGCAUGUAUAUAUAUAUAUAUAUAUAUAAGGUGCAUAUGUAUGUGUAUUCUUUUUCGUGUUCAGAAUAAAAUACCUUUCGUACUGACGCCAUCCCAAUACUUGAUACAAAAAGAUGGCGUAUGUAAACCUGCUUUUAUGGAAAUAGAUGUUUCAAAUAAAUAUGGCCAUGCAUACAUUGUUGGUAAUGCCAUAUUCAUGAGGAACUACUAUACGGUUUACCGGAAAGGAUCCCAUAACACAAAAUCAUACGUUGGAAUUGCGAACGCUAAGCACUCAGAAGAAAAUAAUAUGUAUUUAAAAUCGCUACAUAGCAAAUAUAAAAUAGAGUAGCAAACUGUAGGGUUCUUUGUAUACAUACAUACAUACAUAAAUAUAUAUAUAUAUAUAUAUAUAUAUCCAAUUUCUAG
rnacentral:lncRNA from 1 species